AACUGAUUUUCUUUGAUUGACUUUUGUGCCAUAAGACAGGUCCGAAGGCGCAAAGAAUAUUGCGCGGCGUAGGAGAAAGAUAGGAUAACUAGAAAGUAGUUGACGGCUGUGUCCGCUACGCUACGCUUCCGAGAAAGAAAGUAGUUCAAUACAGGAGGCGCAAAGAAUAUUGCUCGAAAGAAAGGAGAAAGUUUCAGGCUGUCCGCUACGCUACGCUUCCGAGAAAUACAGGAGGUGAGACUGACCAAGAGAAAUUUCAGUAGGAGCAUAGGUGAGACCGAAUAAUGGGAUCAGUGUUCAAUUAAUAAGUGGAUAGUCUUGAGAUCUGAAAACGAAUAAUCGCUUGCUUUACCAGAAUAAUUCCAGACUGAACCCUAUGUGCCUACCUGCUUUAUCUCGCUUGCCCCUCGCUUCGAUCUGGAACCCAUGAUCUUUUGUUGAGGCCGUAAUCACCCUUUCUUCAAUUCGUGGAUGUACCUACGCAAAAGUGCGUAGACUCCAGGAGCCCCGUAGGUAGGGAAUACCGGGCGAAAGCCGAUCCAGGGGGCCCCCUAACUAUUCAAUUAGCUUCUUUGGAUGGAAUCCGUAAGCAUAAUCUGAAGGAAGGGAAGACUUGGCUGGCAAUCUAAUUGGUAGAGAUCAAGUUCGCUUUCUUUCCUAGGAAUUGAGAGGUUCCGCGCACGAGUCAAUUAUCAAGUUGAGGCAAUGAAUCCUAAGAAGUGCUUUUCAGUUCUGAAUGGAAUAUGAUAGAAGAAUGGAGGUGGCCUAGUCGAUCAAGGUUUUAGCGGACAUUGCUUCCACUUUCAUCGAGAUUGUGGGGCUAAAGGGAAUCGAAGGACUCCCCGUUUGGGAAUCCAUGAGGAGGGGUAGAUCGAAGAAAAGGGAAAGGUAGAGUAGUGCCCUUUGAAUUUCAUGUCUUCGGUUCUGAACGCUGGUUGGUCAAAAUCUUCUAUUUGUCUUAGUAUAUUCUAUCUCAACCUCUCGUCUUAGCCUUAAGUCAUUCUUCAAUUUCUGAGAAAAUCACCCCUUCAUGCUCCUUCUCCGUCCUCUCAAUAGCAUUUCCUCGGAAUAGUGGACCCUCUUCUCUUCCUUUUCUUAACCAAAACAUUUAGAAGGCCUUGGAAAGGAAAAACCUUGGUUGACUAGGGAUAUAUCUUGCAGGACCGCUGCUAUAUCUUCCACGGUGUGCGGCGACCUGAUCUUCCCGUGGUAAUAAAAGAGAUGGAGCCAACGAAUGGAAGAACUCCUCUAGAAGAUUAGAUCUUUCACUUUCAGUCGAAGGCCAAGUCGCCCAAUUCCAUCUUUUCCGUAUGGAAACCGCCUUCCUGCCCGCCAGGAUAAUAUAAUGGCCAAGGGCAGAACUAAGCCAAUAGACAGACGAGAUAUAUUCUCUUCAUAUCUUCUCCUUUCGUUAAGGAUGCUCCGCCCCCAUAAUAAUGAAAUUCUUCUUGCUCUCAUCAUGCGGAGAGACUUGUAGGAAAUUGCCCCUUGGGUUUGAAACCAAGAAAGGCAAAAUAUGGAUCUAAUGGAUAGUCCGUAGGACCGGUCUUAAUACUCCUAACUACGGGGUCAAAAUCCACUUUUCAUAGGUAAUUCGUCUGUCUGUAUAAAUAAGAAAGUUCUUCAUCUUUCAAUGGGAUUGAAAGCAGGCAAGGCAUCUGAAAUUUGCUCUUUCGUCCAAAAGAAUGAAUCGAAUUUCCGCUAUGAAAGGAAGGCCAGUAUUGAGCCUUAAGUCUCUUUCAUCAAAGAAAGAAUGGGUAAGUUCAAAAUCAAUUAAGUCAUCAUCAUUGUGAACUGGCCCACCGCUCCGUGGGUAAUUCGAUGGAGCGAGAGAAGUUUUGAGAAUGAGUGAGCUAAGCCAUCAGAUCAUCAGCCUUUUCUUGGGAUCCCUUCGUUCUCCUACCAUACAUAGAAAGAAUGAGGGGGUAUGAGCUUAGGCAAAAGAACUGCCCACGCGGAUGACGUUGCUGGGGCGCACUUCUCCUACGGGUAGAAGUCAUAGCUUUUAGUUUCAUCACUGUCAAAUCAGAGUUCUAUGAGUGGAAUCGAGUAUGCGGCUUUAUUCAAAACCUUUCCAUCACGUAAAAUAAAAAGGAGGAUAAAGGCGAGAGGUCAAAGUCAGGAAAACUCCCCAAAUCGGCUAAGCAUCCAGUCUGAUCGCCGAUCAUCCAAUUCAUUCUUUUCGAUUUUCCUAAAAGAUUUUCGGUAUCAAAAGGAUGCGGACGGAGAAAGGAGAAUGGUGAUUGGAGGUUCAGAAGAUUACCCACGGAGCGGUGUAGAGGGGAAGGAGUCUAACCGCUUUCCCGAUUCCCCACGUAGCGGGGAAGGAAGGUAACUCUCAUCUAAGCAAGCGCGCCUAUGCUUUUCAUGAGAUCUUGAAUUCCUAACUUCAAGUCAAAGAGAAAGGGAUGAAACUGGGACUUCCCUCUCUCCACACUCUCUUGUCUUGGAAAGGUUCUUAACAAGUUCAUGCCUUGAACAUAGUCUACCUUUAGAAUAUAAGGAAUUCCCAGCUACCGAAGGAAGGCUAGGCGUAAUUGAGGAGAGAGAGAUCUCGGCCGAGCCAGUCUCGAGCAGUUCUGCUUUCAAUGCGCCAGUGGGAUCGAGGUUGGAGAAGUCGCCUCACCCCUUGUUCUCUAAGCUCGAGUAAGGCCUAUGGGACCUAUGCUCCUCUUUCUUAACUCUUGACUCCACAGGUUCAAGAAAACGGGAGGGAAGGUCCAAAGAAAAUAUCCAAAUAUAUCGGAGUCCCCCACUUUAUGCUUUUCAGUAUAGGAGAGAAGGACCAGAGGCAUAGGAAGCGAAGCCGUUCAGAAGAGUCCGUCGCAUAGGCUCAUGACCGAUGGCCUCCCCUUUCUUCUUAUUACUCUUUUAUCUCAUAGAAAGUCAAAGAGGAUUCCCCCUCCAUAAUCCCACAGUGGGAGGAGCCGGAGAGCCAGCAUAAAAGAUCAAUCGGAAGCGGUAUUCUCUUUAUCUGGUUCGGGUCUUGAGGAGAGCAGGAGUUCGAGCACCAGUCCGCUAGACCUUGGUCCGGAGCAGGUAUGAGGGUAUGUAUUUACGAGUUAGAAUUUCUUGAACUUGACUAGCCCGCCAAGGGUUGCCUAUAGUGGUAAAGGACUCCUUAUCCUAUUAAUUAGAAUCGAUCGGAGUUUAUGUGCUAUAAUUCUUCUCAUAAGGACCAGAUCCCCUCACCUUCAAGGUCUUCCACCUCUACAGCCGUCUAUUCUGAUGAACUCAUCCUAUCACUCAUUUGAAUAGGGUGGGUAGGGGGUAUGAAUCUUUCAUGACCAGAAUCCCGAUAGUUAGGGAGUGGAACUUCCCUAGUGCGAGAGGUUCAAAGAAUUUGAGAGUGGAAAUUGACGAGUAUUCAUCAUAUAUAUUUGGGAGGAGCAUCUCCAGAGGCUCUUUUAUUUGGAUGGAGGAGAGGCUCAAUUCACAUCCAUAAAUAAAGGGAUCUUGUCUUAGGCUCAAAGAACAAUUAUAAGGGGACAGGUGACCUUUUUUAUCCACUAGGUCAAAGAUUCCACUAAAUAAGGAAGGGGAAUGAAUAGGCGGUCUGGUCUUAGUCUUGAGGUCAGUUAAUUCAUAACUAAGACUUUCGUCAGACAGAGACAGACUUCCUCAUUAUCAGGAUGGGAAGCCUCAGUCUGAGAAGGGUGCGGGUCGGAGUUAGUAAUUCUUUGAAGUUUCUCAUCUCGAAGGAGAAAGAAAGCAUAUUAAGUUUUAGUAGGGUUAUGAGCUCCGCUGCUCUCCUGAGAUCAAUGAAAAAUCAAGCUCCAGAUGAGUUUCAGAAGCGAAGACAGAACCUUCUACGUGCCCACUUUUUGAAAAGAAAUAAAGAGCGCAAAUCGACAAAGGAGGGGUCUUUCGAUCUGAACCUUUUUUCAUGCAUUCUACGAAAUGAUAUAUUUACCCUUUUGAAUAAAAGGGAAGUCCCAGGGUAUCAGAAAGAGAGUUCUAUCAGCCCACGUAGCGGGAAUUGUGUCAAGUCUUCUUUCGUAAGAGGAGAAGUGGCGCUCAAGAGGAAGCUAGAACGACCGUAAGGCAUCGGUCUGAUUCUGGUAUUUCAGAAGUGCAGUUCGUAUUCUAAGAAGAGGUAGAUAUAGGGAUCGGAUCCUGGUCCCCUUGUUCAUUCAGGCUAGGCUUGAUCUUUCUUUUUUUGAUAAUAGGAGCCGAAAAUGACCUAAGCUUUCUCUCUUUCAUUAUCAGGAAGUGAAGGAGCUCGACCAAAGGAAGAGUGAGUACGAGAGGAAGACUCUACUCUGACAACGGUCUCCACAAUCGGAAGAAAGUCCCUCGACCAAGCAUAGGAGCAGCGAUCCCAAGAAGAAAGUACUAUUUCCUAUUUCAAGGGAAGAACUCGCAUAACUGGAAUUGGAAGCUCUCCCGGAUGAAUUAGUUGGGUCGGCUGAAAGGGCACAUCCUGAGUUGGGGCGAAGACACUUUGUUGGAGUCACUUCACAUAAUAUCUAAAAGACUUCCAGUUCUUGCAGCUUUCCCGGAAUAAAUGGAAUAUGCGAGUGAGAAAGCGGAAAAUUUGCAGACUCAUCUGGACUUUGUUUAUGGAUAAAAAUCAGUCACCUGGACCUGACCACUAAAAAACUGAUUAAGCAGAUAGGUUCUUUCGUAGGAGGAAUCGGCAGUUUCAGUUUCAUCAGUUUACUAUUAGAAAGGAGAGAGCGACUGCUUUUUCCCGUAUCAGAUAGGUUCUCAGACGGGAGACUCCCACGGGGCGGAGAGGUUCUCAUACGACCAACUCAUAUGGAAGAAAGCCUAGGGGUUAGGAGACAAGCGACCGUAUAGGAGCUCAGCGGCAGGAUGGAAGAGUCAUCGGAAUAAGAAAGAGUCAGCUCCUUGGUGCAUUCACUGAAGUAGCCGAAGAAAGCGCAUCCUUCGUAAAGAGUUGGACUAGCCUCCUGCUAUCACUCAGAAGAAUAGGAUCGUACGGUCUUUCUUUCAGCUUACAGUUGACUCAGAGUUGGGUGCCGGUUCUGAUGGCCCUACGAGCUUCUUGAUUUUCCUUAUUUCGGUCUGAAUAGGGCAUUCUAUCAGAAAGAAGAGAGGAAGAAGUACGUUGAAUCAGAGAAAUCUCCGCUCUUAGUAUUCUCUCCGAAGCUAGACAAGAUCCUGAAUGGGGGAAGGUUCUCAUAUGCUCCCCAGAGGUCUUAUGAGGGUAUGAGAUUGGCAGUUUCUAGAAUAGAAUAACCUCACCGCUCCGUGGGCAGAUAGAACUAAGCAAGAACAAGAGGCAGCUAGAACUCAGAAGAAAGAGUAGGAAAGGGGCUGGCUGCAUCGGGAGAGGGGGAAGUUGACUGACCUACUCGGAUCUCUAACAAGAAGAGUUUCAGUUCCAUAAAUCAGUCCAAGAAAAGGCUAUAUGGAAUAAAUCAGUCCGACUAUCGAUUAGUCUUGAGCUCCUUCCCUCUUGACUUAAUCAGCUCUUUCCCCGUAUUAAGACAUAGAAAAGUAGGGUUUUCUUACCCGAGUUGACGAGGUUAUCAUAUUAUAGACUCGAAAGUUGAGGCGGAGUAGAACAGCUUACAUAUUAAGCUGCGUAGGAGGACGGGUCGUAUUCUCUCUUUCAUGGAGAUCUUUUAUUCUUUCUUUCAUUCUCAGUUGUAGAAGCUAGAACUUGAGCUAUGCUCUUGGAUCGGAUCGAUCAUGAGAGAGAAGAAUCGGAAGUGAGACCUGGCAGCAUAAGAUCUGGAGUCAUCCGUCGGGGUCUUCUCCGUUGAGUAAUCGUGAGGGAUCGAAAUUGGGUCGGAUUAUGAGCGAAGCGAGAACUCAUCUUGACGGGGAGGAUUAGGAAGAGGAAGAAAGGUUUAUGAAAUUGCCCACUGAUCCAAAGAGUAUGAAAUUACUAUGUGGUAAGAUGAAGCCAGAGGUGUGAAAGAGAGGGUUUUCUCCGCCUUCUCAUGAGAAUGAAGGAUUCCGUACUCAGAUUAGUACCCUCGAUAACCUUAUUCUUUUCUCGUAGAUAGUAGUUCUCUCUCUUUCUGAUAACUAAGAAAGAAGAAAGAAAAUCAAAUAUAUAAAUAUUCCCGAACAUAUUAGUGGAAUCUUUUCUACAUCAGAGUUCUCAUAAGAAAAGAAAGCCUAUCCUCCUAUAAAUGAAAUAUACGUUGAGGCGCCUAAAAGUGCGAAAAAGGGCCAAAUAAAGGUAUAUCUUCUGUGAAAAUGGCAUAUCCGCGCAAGGCAGAUACCAUUCCGCAAGGCUAGAGGCUAGGUAGGGUCUCUACCGAAGGGCUAGGGUCUCUGAAAGGGGUUCUAACCCGAAGGCUUGGCUUUCGACCCGAAGGCCUUUGGCUUGAAUAGAAUCGCCGAUAAGUCCAUGUAUACGUUACAGCCCCCACGGAAGGCACGAGAAAAAAAGGCUUUUCCCCCCACGGGCUUCCCUGCUCAGGUUCACCACCCCCGGAUACUCAAAUAGUAGAAAGACAAAGUGGAGGGCUUCUUUUGGAAGCCUGUAACUUGCAUCGACUUUUUCCUACUGGGUCACAUCAUAAAGGGGUAUGGAGCCACCGUCGCUUUGAUCAGCGUUACCAAGAACCAGCGAGAGUUUCUCCUGGUCAGUGGUCUAGGUCUGGACACCGUAUCUAGCGGCCACCCACCCAGUCCUUGGAUCUGGGGUCAUGACACAGUCCUACGAUUGAUGCCCUUUGUCCACGAUGCCCCUAGUCGCUAGCAAGACUGGGUUUAGCAGUGCACUUUCGGGCAAAGAUCGUUUGAAUCAAUCAUUAACGAGAUUUCAUCAUUAACGAGAUUUUUUGUUGAUAGUUUUUGUUGUGAAUUAUUUGUAAGUUUUUCUCAAUCUAGAGAGAAACCGACUGGAAGGAGCACCGAGCGUACUUUGGUAGCGAGGUCCUAGCCAAAGCAAACAAAGACGAAGCUCCCUUUAAGGAGCGGAGUCAAUACACCCCAUCCUCAUGACGCGGAGAAGAUAGGGAGGUUGAGAAGGCGCAAAGAAUAUUGCGCUUUAAGCAAACUUUUCUUUCCUUCCUUUUGACUUUCUUUCUUCCCUCUCUCGUUAGUUGUCGGUAGAGCAUCUACCGGCUUCCGGGUUUUCAGAAUGGGAAGUAUUGACUCAGCUCUAGGAAGGGAGCUUCGUCUUUGUUUGCUAGGAGCUAGGAGUCAGCCGAGGAAACUUCUUUUUGAACUGAGAACUGAACUUCAGAACUAGGAAAGAAAGAGAGAAAGAAAGAGCACUUUUGAAAUCUUUUCUUCCUUAAAGAGAUACAUUAGUGAAUCUUAGAGAGGGAGAAUCUGCGCUUUGUAGAAGCUUCCCCGAGCGUACUCCAUAAGGGAGCGAGUGGGGAGCAUACACAAAGCGUUAACAUGACGCGCGCGCGAGGUUGCCUAAUAUAUGAAAAGGGCGAAGCCACCGCAUCCAUAUAAAAUAAAUAAACAAAGGGCGAAGCCACCGAAUCCAAAAUAGGGCAAAGCCACCGACUCCUAAAAAGACAUACAUAAACCCAAGCACAAGGGGGGCCCAAGGGCGAAGCCAAAAAAUGAAGGGCGAAGCCACCGAUUAGCCUUAGCCGGACAAGUCAGAGGGCGAAGCCACCGCUUCCAAAUUCCAAAAGAAUAUUCCAAAGCCACCGAUAACUCCUAGCUAAUAGCUAACCCGAAGCUCCCCUGGAGCUGAGACAAUACUAGGUUUCCAAAAUAUGAAGGGCGAAGCCACCGAAACAAGAAGUCAUCCGGAUCGAUAUCGCCGAAAUAUGGAAAAGCCGGACCUAUUGAUAUGGAAAAGCCGGACCUAUUAGCGAGAAAAAGGACUCAAGGAAGGGGCGACCUGUCUUUAUAUGUUGGGGCUCGUAAAAGUGCGGAAAACGUAGAAAGAAAGCAGAUCCGUUCAGUCUCUCCUCAGUUAGUGGUUAUAGUAAGUUCUCGCAAUCAACAAAAUAAAAGGAAGCAGAUGAAAAAGCUCUGCUACACCUACCUUCAAGGAGCUGAGAAAAUAGAACCCUAUCCUUCCCCACAAACAAGGAGCUGAGAAAUAGACCAAGGAGCUGAGAAAUAGACCCCUACCCCACAAACUAGGCUAGGGUCAUAAGGAUAAGGGGCAAAGAAUGAUCGAAGAGCAAGAACCAACGGAAAGAGUCAUCAGGGCAAAGAAUGAUCGAAGAAGUAAGUCAGCAACUCUCAAAUUUCAUUGAUCCUCCGGACGGCUGGAAAACAAAGACAAAGUAGGCUCGACCCCAUUCUACUCACUCAAUCAGGGAAAGCUGCUUCUCUUAGCCCGACCCCAAAACGCCUACUUUAAGACUCCUCUUGCUCAUUACCUUUCUUCCGACCAAAGACGCUUCUUUUAGGGGCAGGUACGGGAAAAGAUGGGUCAGUAAACCGGUACGAGAUAUGAAUCAAGGUUGAAAGACAGCCGAGGGAAGACAGAAAAGCAUACCUUUCCCGGAGAUCGAUACCCCGUACAGUAUAUCGAAGUGGACUUUCUCUCAGUAUGAGAUCUUGAGUCACCUUGUAAAGAUUCCUGAAAGCCUUACCCCUUUAUUCAGUGACCCUGGGUUCUACGUACGCUCCUGGUCUCCUUGCUUCACCCGUAAAUCGGUCCAGCUAAAAGUCUUCCCCUCCUCUUGACUGACGGCUUUUUUCUUAUUCCUUAUCAAUGAUCUUUUCACCUUGCCUCCGGAAGUAGGAUCACUUUCAAGUCUUCGUCUUCGUAUGAGAAGUAGCUCGAGCUAAACUAAUAGGUUGCGGAACCCGUUGACUCAUCAGCCUCCUCGGAAGAGUUUUCAGUCGAUUAGGAGCGAGCGGAGAGGCACAAGUCCUUCGCCUACUACAAUCAGUUCCAUGAAGAAGUCCUUCGUCGUCUAGUGACUUUCUUUUUUUGAUAAUUCUUUGAUUUUCUUUGCUUUCAUUUGACGUUCAUGAGAAGAUUCCGUCAGUGAUCCACGUACGAAGCAGAAGCAACCUUCACCUCCGAGAGUUAGUUGUGAAAAGAAGAUGGAAUCGCUCUAUAUAUGCGCCUUCUUCAUUUCUUUCGGAGGACCACCUCCUGUAUUUCACUACUUGAUCCUGUAUUUCACUCCUUUCUUUAUCCGUAGCGGACAGCCUGAAACUAAAGACUUUCUUUCUCCUUUGGAAGCGUAGCGUAGCGGUUAAAGCUCAAUAUUCAAAGAGCCAAACCAUCAAAGAAAGGUCCAGGGUCCGUAGGAUUUAUCCGUAGGACUAUCCAUUAGAAGCAGGAUUUAUCCGUAGGACUAUCCAUUAGAAUAGAAUAAUCAUGAAAAAUCAGUCAAUAAAGUACUUUUAUCGUAGAAUAUCAAUAUGAGAAAAAGUCACAUUUAGAAGCAACCGAGAAAAAGGCAAUUCAAGAAUCAAGCCUAGGACAGGGAAAAGAAAUGACAAUGGAGAACUUUUCUAAUGGAUAGUCCAGUCCUCCGGACGGAUAAAGACAGGGAUAUUCUUGAGAGUAGUUCUUUCAGCUCUCUCAAAUUCUUUGAGCCUGAAUAGGUAAGAAAGAUGAGGGGAUCGUAAGACCAAGGCCGUCGGCCUAACUUCAAAAAAGACAAAAAAGAAAAGGUCCAGUCCAGGCGCAAAGAAUUUGCGAAGAAGGACUAUCCAUUAGGGAAUAUUGCGAGGUGCAAAGAAUAUUGCGAUAUUGUAGGUCCUCCGCCUAAGAGCGCAAACCAAAGGCAAAGGACGGGUCCGACCUAUCCUCUGAAAGUAGCGGAGCCCCUCUUCAUUGAUUUUAGAUAUUCUGAUCUUCUUAUAUCCGAUUAUGAAUAAAACCUUCCAUAGUUUCUUCUUCUUUGAACUUUUCAUUCUUCCUCCCUGUCAAAAAUCUUUCUUUUCAUCUUCUUAUUUCCUAAAAUAAAGACGAAAGUACUUAAAUGUGGUUGGUACUCACUCAUUCAAGACGAAUCCUCUUUCUUUUCUCUGACUCUAGAAACUGAUACUUGAUACUGAGUCUACUUUUCUUCAACAGGUGGAGCAACCGCCUCAAUGAACAAGGGGCAUCUCAUACUCACAAGACCUAUGUGUGGACCACUCAUUCUUCUUAUACUCAAGGAUGCUUUGAGUACUUAUUUAUUCGUCCGAGACUGAGAAGUCGUAUUCGUCCCUUUGGUUAGCUCAUACCGCGGAGUGGGAGUCUCGAGACUAAAGACCUAUUCCUUUCUUUGGUCGAGCUACUAACUAUCGUAAUCAAAUCGAUAUUCUAACCUCCUAAAUAAAGCGUCCAGCUGAGUAUAUAGCUCGUCUUAACUUUUUUGAUUGCUUUCUCUCUCUUGAUUCCAGAAAAAAAGAAGUUUGAAAAACCUAGCCCAAUAGAGCUCUCCACUACUGGACUGCGGACAAGGAGAUGCCGGUAAACGUCCGGCGGGAUAGAAAGGGAUCUCGAACUCUCUGAAAGGUUUAGGAAAGCUCAAGCUAUAACGAAAGUAUGGUUAUGAGUUAUAUUGUAUUGCUUGAACUCUUUAAUAUGAGAAGGAGCCAGAUUUCAUGACUUUUGCCCCAUAGGAAGCUAUCACACUCUUCAUUCAGAAUAUAGGAUAUAGAGCUCAGCUGCUAACCCGAGUAGACGAGUUACAGAGUACAGGAUCGGCCGGACAGAGGGCUAGCCUUUCCUUCUUCCAUUUCGUAUGAGUCAGACAAAGAAGACGACCCCCACGUAGCGGGGAAGGUAUUCAUAGGCUUGACUUAGUUGUAGAGGUGAGUACUCUCUUUCAUGAAAAAGUCUUAGGAUCGACGAUCAAUGAAUCAGUCUUUCCAUAGGCAGCGGGUAGAAGGCGGAGAGGGGCCAAGGUCAGAGGCUUAAAGUAGCUCGAUCGGGAGCCAGAUAGGCGAAAGAAGAGAUCCCACAUACUAAGAAAAAGAUGGGGAAGACUGAGUUUCUACAGUUGCGGCUUCAAGGUCCCAGUGGAAGCUUUUCUCUUCGGUUGAGGUGCAAAGAAUAUUGCGGAGAGACCGGCUUUACCGAGUGGAAGGGGCAUCGGGCUGUAUUCUCUCUUUCCCGCUCCGUGGGUCUGUCUCCAGAAGAAUGGGACUGAGAAGGCAGUAGCACAAGAAGAUUUAGUGGAAUUCGAACAUAAGAAAAUCAACGAAAGGAUGAAAGGGAAUGAUAAGGAUGAGUAUGAAAAGGAAGAAAGAGAAAGCCAAACUUAUUAGCCGACCACGGAGUUUGAAUUAGAAUCUAUUUCAAAGCACUUAUGAGCCGACUUAUACCGCCUCAAUGAACAAGGGGAAGACGAAGCUCUAUCUAGAAGCCCCACUACACGGGAAACCCCACAGUGAUCGAGAUAAAGAAGAGAUCUUUCUCUCUCUUGAGGCUGGAAUGCGAGACCCAGUCUUGGAUUCCUUGUUCCCGAGUUCUUGAAUGAGAAAGAUUAAAUAUUAAUGGAUUGGCCUAAAGCAUUCAUUUCACUCUUUGUACUUGGAUUGACUAAUAAAGCUAGACCUUCCCUUUCUUUUUGCAAAUGCAAUGUGAAAAGGAAUGGAAACCCGGGGAAGAAGGUCAAUGAACCACUACAAAUUCAGGCGUGAGGCUAAAGGGAAAGAUCGAGGACCAGGCUCUGCUUCAAUACAGAAUAGAAUGAACCUACCUCUCCCCACUUGCUCUGCGGAAAAAGCGGAAUUCUUGGUCUUACCACUUUCCUCUCGUAUUCUAAUUUACGGGAGAGCGCAUAAACCGAGAUCAGGUCGUAGGGGACAAGGGCCGCUUCCUAGCUGAUAAUCUUUCUGAUACAGCUAAAUCAACCGAUACAAUCCAAGUUCAUUGAGAACGGAGCAUUCUCUUCUCCUUCUUAAAUGGCUCGAGCGGACUGGACUCAGUCUGGCGACCCGACUAAAGAGAGUUUCGGCAUAAAUAAAGAAGACUUGCUUUGACCUUUUUGAAUGCGAAAAUUCAUUCCCGCUCCCCAACAAUAUCCCUCUUUUCUCGCUGUCAAAAUCCAAUUAAUGGAAUAAAGAGGAUUGAGUUCCAUACCAUACAUAAAUCGAAAGCAGGAAGAUAUAAAAGGAAAGCCUAGGGAAAAGGCAAAGAAUGAAUGGACGAAUCCGUCCUCAGUCGCAAAGUUAUUGAUUUUCGGCGCAAAGAAUAUUGCGUGAUUCAUAGUCCUUCGGAGCGGUUUAAGACAGAUAUUAUUGGAAUCAGACUCAAGAGGAGCGGUUCAAUUACAUCAAGUCUAAUCUUUCUCACGCAAUGAUCUUUGCUCCGAAAAAUAUGGAUAGUCCGGAGGUGAAAAGAAUAUUGACUAGACUGGAAGGUGCGGCUUUCUAUUAAGGAGUGCAAGGUGCAAAGAAUAUUGCUGACUGACAUAUUAACCCCUUUGCUGCGACUGAGGAUGAAUGAAAUAUUCGUCUUGACUGAUUUAUCCAUAUGAACUUCUUCUUUUCCAUCGCUUGAUACUCUGCCGCACCCUUCAGGUCUCCCUUAGUCUUCCUCUUCCUUCUCGCUCCUCUUGCUUUCGGUAUUUCGGUAUCUGGAUCGGUGGGAGAGCACAACCUUCUUAUCAUCUUUGGCGUAGACAAGAGAGAAUGAGUCAACCUCUUAUUCAAGGGAGACUGAAGAAAGAGACCGACCUCCGCUGAGAACCUCUCCUUCCAAUUUGCACGGAGCGUAGUGGGCAGUCUUAUCAAUUCCAUCGAUCCAGGUCUCCUCAUCCUAUAGAAUAGAUAGGGAGAGAGAGAAAGAAGACCUGUGCUCUACUUUCUUUUCCCCAUCCCGCCUCUUCUUUUUCUUUGAAUCCGAAUUCAAUGGCUUUCCCGAUUCCGGGAAGGAAUCCUUGAACCGCUCCGUGGGAUCAAUGCUUUUUCUAUAUUAGUCAAAAUGCACAAAACCCACUCGGCUAUAGGCGAGCGUAAAUCAUCUCAAAUCCAACUAAAUCAUAUGAGUUCGCUCUCAGUCCUGGUCGGAUUAGUGAAAAGACCAUUUGAUGAAGGGUAUGGUUGAGGCUCAAAGAAUAUUGAGUUCGUCGACUGAAGGAAGGCUGAAUCUAAUUGAGAAGGGACGGACGGGGAAGAGCCGUCCAAAAACAAAGGCGCAAAGUCGCAUAUUUCAUUGCGCCGGAGGACUCCUUGGACUUGUUAAUUCCAUACUUCUGCUUCCAAAUUAGUAGGAAGAGUUGGUAUGAAAUAGACUAGGAAAGAGCUAUUCUGAGAGAAAUCGACCAUAGAGAUCUCGGAACUGAGUUCACGAGUCUUGGGGCUGGGUUUCAGGAAGUUUGAGGCAAGGCGCCCACGGAGCGUAGCGACUCUAUCUUUUUGAGAAUCCGCUUGGAAAGAUAGCUACCCCGGAGCGGAGGCGGAGCCGUAGCGUAACGGACAGUAGUUGAAUAAUGAAAGUCAAUCAAAGAAAAUCAGCUCAUUAACGAUAAUGAAAGAAUAAUUCUUCUUGAAUAACCUGGAGUGAAAUAAAGAAUAGACCUCUCAGUAUCCGGAACACAAACUAGAAGUUCUCCAUUGGCAUUUCUUUUCCCUGUCCUAGGACAAUGAAUGAAUUGCGUUUUCCCGGCUUUUUUGCUUCUUUUUCAUAGUUUUUCUCAUAUGGAUAAAUAACGAUAAUUGUCUAAUUUUGACAGAUUUUUCAUGAUUUCUUGCUACUUUAUAGGCCCAAAACCUAGCAUUUCCCUCCGCGGAUUCAUCUGAAAUCUAGCAGAUUCUUUUUGAGCUUCUUUCAUUAUCGUUAAUGAACUGAUUUUCUUUGAUUGACUUUUGUGCCAUAAGACAGGUCCGAAGGCGCAAAGAAUAUUGCGCGGCGUAGGAGAAAGAUAGGAUAACUAGAAAGUAGUUGACGGCUGUGUCCGCUACGCUACGCUUCCGAGAAAGAAAGUAGUUCAAUACAGGAGGCGCAAAGAAUAUUGCUCGAAAGAAAGGCUCUUUUCAGAUUUCGAGUUUACAAAUCCUCCGAAAGAAAGGAUAGGAUAACUAUCAAGUAGUUGACGGCUGUCCGCUACGCUCCGGAGAUCCAGAGAAAGAAAAGUCGUUUACGGCUGAAGGCGCAAAGAAAAGAAUAGAUUAUGCUGAAGGCGCAAAGAAUAUUGCGUCUGACUCGGUAACCAAAAUAGCUGGCUCAAUUCAAGCCCUCGGCAGCUAAAGGCUACUAAUAGUAAUCGUCUGGGUGUCUUAUGAUGAGAUCUCGCCAUUCUUUGGGCGGAAUCUCCUGGUAUCCUCGGAAAAAGCUAUGUAUUCCUUUCUCCUCUUGGAAGAACGCUUCUUCUUUUUUCUUCUUGGGGGGCAGAACAAUUCUGAUGUUUAAAGGGAGCCGAGUUUACGAGGCUCUAUCCCCAUUGUAGUAAAGAAGAUAUAUAGGCCACAUGGCCUAAUGUGGCUUUCAUCUCGCCUAUUAAGUAGAAAGAUGUCGGAAGCUUUGGGGCUCUUCCUGUCGUUGUGGCGGAGUUUUCACUGGUAUGACCGCGAAGUUGAGUAGAUUCAACCCAGCCUGGGUGACCUGCUCAUAUCUUAUAGAGAUAUAAGGGGGAUUGUCUCCCGGGUUAUUAGACCUCCUAACUGGAAGGAUAAUAGAAUUCUUCUCCCUUCUGAUCUCGAGCAGGGGUCAAAACAAUCCCUCUCCUUAGGAAAGAAGAGAUCUUUGAUCCUCUCAUAUAGGGAUCCCCUAGAAUUUUGAAAACAAUCAUUGAGAGAAUGAAGAAUGUAAUUCUCUACUCUAAUAGAAUUGUAGGAAAUGGCAGGAUUCCCCAUGAGGUCCCGCGUACAUGCUCUUGUAACAAAAGCGUUCCAGAACGUUGCGAUCACCCGGUCUUCACUCAACUGAGGAAAGUUGGAAAAGAGCUUUAAAGGCAUCAGCAUUUCUGCCCAUGGAGUGUCAUGGACUCUGAAGCUUGUAGGUAGAUGAUCACCUAUCAUAAUUAGUGGAAUAUUAACCUUAUGUUUUUUCUUCCAAUCCAGAAGAUCAAGAAGACUGAAUAAUCGUUUACUCAGUGAUUUACCAUCUUGUCUCCACCCCCAACAGAACCCAGAAUUCUCAACAAUCAAUAUCUGUGAUGAUAGAUCACAUUUGUCAUAGUCCCGUUUUCUCAUUUUAUCGGUACCCCGGACAAUAGGUAAGACCUUAGAUAGCAUCUCAAGAAGAAGUAACCCUUGGCAGUCUGGACCCCCGUAGAGGUAGAGCUCCUUCGUCUCCAGGGGCCUAUCCCCAACUAAGUUUACAGCCAGCCAGUCCAGGACAUAAUAUUUUUCAUUCAAUUCCUCGGGACUGUACACCUCGGGCCACCCCUUUUGAUCAAGAUAUGAAAUAAUGUUCUCAGCUAGCCUCAUUUCUCUGAGCUUUUUAUCUUUUUGGAUAGAAUUCCACUUAUCCUUUAUAGAUGUGUAUUUUUGAGAACCCAAGAGUAGCUUCACUAGCUCUUCGCAAUAUUCUUUGCGCCUCGGACCACUCCGCGCAGUCCGUCAUCUUCUGAGAGAUAGUCUUUCGUUGAUUAGCCAUUUUUUUUUCUUUGCAACAGCAUUAGCCUCAUCUAUGAUAUCUUGCAGAGAAAACUGACCCCAAAGGUCUCUUAUCAACACUCAGAAUGUGAGCACACACGGUACGCCAUGUCUUAGGAAAAGAAAGAUCACAUUGAUCCCAAUCAUAAAAAGCCUUUCGGAUCAAACUAACGGAAGUAUGCCUACCCGCCGUAUUGACGGCUACUGAGUAAUGGAUGCUACCUUCCUUUCUGAAAAAAAUGAUAAUAGACACGCAACGGAGCGUGUUCUCAAUACGUAGCGCAAUUUCCUGAGGUGAAAGCACUUCACUGUUAUCAGAGCGAGACAAUCUAAUGAAAACAAAUCUACUUAUAUUGGUAACUCAUUUUCAUAUUAUUCUUUGUUUACUCCCAUUCCUCACAACCAAAAAAGACACAAUGAUUUGGUUGUCUUAUAACUAAAUUAUAUCAAUUAUCGUAGAUAAUUGUUGGGUGGCAUUUCUUCUCCUAACCCUCUAAUUCCCCCACCGCAUUCUUCUUUUCCUAUUAGGUUCACAGUCUUUGAGGGUUCCUCCUCUCCUCCUUCUUCCCUUGAUCGCCUUCCCGUACUGAUGAAACUGACUACGACUUCAUCCCCCCACCUAUCUACCCUCUUUCUCAAAAUCCCCGACUAUCCAUAUAUUUGUGUUAAGCAUGCCUGGCCAUAUCUCUGAAAUUUCCCACCCCCAGGUUCCCCUUUGCCUUAUUAGCAUCCCUGACCCUACAUCCCAGGUAUUUAUCCCCCAACCAGACCACCAACUAGAAGUUCUAAAUUGUCAUUUCAUUUACCUAAAGGACCAACCGUGUACGGGGAUAUAUUUAAAGAGAGUCCUAAAGAAGCAACCGUAGAUAUAGGAUAUAUCCACCCUGACCCUUAGAUUUCCCUGAUCCCCACCAACUAGAAGUUCUAAAUUGUCAUUUCAUUUACCUAAAGGAGCCACAAUGUACAGGGAUAUAUUUCCCCUAGAACCUGACCGACCCUACUUCCAAGCUUCCCCGACCACCAACAGAACCCACAAGUUCUUUCUAAGGACCCACAAUGGAAUUUGUUGUUCUAUAUUUCUCCCAGGAUAUAUCCACCCUGAUCCGUGAACUAAACUAUAAGUUCUCAAUUGGCCUUUCAUUUCCUCACCGUAUUCUGGGAUAUAUUUUUCAUGUCGGAGAAUCCGUGAAGUGUCUCCUCCUUUCAUGAUGGUUAUAGUAAGUUCUAGCAAUCAACAAAAUAAAAGGAAGCAGAUGUGAAAAGAAUAUUGAUCAACUUCGGCUGACUCCUAGCUAAACCGAAGCUCCCUUCAAGGAGCUGAGUAAAUACACCCCUAUCCCCCAAAAGUAUGAAGAAAAAGCAAAAUCAAAGUAUGAAGGCGAAAAAAGAAGAACAAGGCAGCCGGAUGUAUGGAUCGAUAUCCCUGAAAGAUGGAAAAGCCGGACCUUAGGCCGGACCUCUUAGUUAGCCCUAUUAGUUAGCGAGGAAAAGGACUCAAGGCAAUAGCGACCUGUCCGUAAAAGUACUCAAAAGGUACUCAAAACGUAGGAAAAAGGUUUGAAUACCGACUUGCAUGUGUUAAGCAAUGAAAGAGGAAAGCCUAGGACAAUGAAUGAAUUGCCUGCCUUUUCUUUGAGAGUCCUACUUCGGUUAAUUACGGAUGGUCCUACUUCGGUUAAUUACGGAUGGUCCUACGGAUAAAUCCUCCGGACUACUUCUAAUGGAUAGUCCUACGGAUAAAUCCUGCGGACUCCGGACUCCGGACUACUUCGGUUAAUUACGGAUGGUCCUACGGAUAAAUCACCUGGACCUUUCUUUGGCCCAUAUGGAUGGUCCUACGGAUAAAUCACCUGGACCUUUCUUUGGCCCUGCGGACUGCGGACUCCGGACCCUGGACCUUUCUUUGAUGGCGCAAAGAAUUUGCGAAGAAGGACUAUUAGGGGAUUGAGGAUAGAUAAGCUUAGGCAAUAAGGCAUGAAAGUCAAUGAACAAGGGCAACUGCUGCUGCAACUACUGGAAGUCUCGCUGCUUAUGACGACCAGACUCUUCUUUCUUUGAGCUUCCGCAGAAGACUUUAUCUAAUAUCGGGGUAGAACUGCUAAGCACCUAGCAUGAAAGCAUAAAUAAGGAAGACGGAGCGGUCCCGAGGUACUCUUUCUAAUUCAAGCCCUUUUUCUCCUUCAGAGUCGAGCCUAAUUUGACAGGAGUUUUCUUCCACGAAAGGCUUAGCUCGAGCAAGAACCUCUCCUCUUAAGUCGAGCGGCAAGGUGCUAAGAAUAUUGACAGGUCGAGCUGCCGAUUGAUCUCGUAUUCAUACUGAUCCUACUAGGUCAAGCUGCUAGCUACUAAUCCGACCAGCCGCACCCAAGUCUACUUCUCAACUCAG
rnacentral:lncRNA from 1 species